rnacentral:rRNA from 1 species
UAAGAAUAUUCCGCAAUGGACGAAAGUCUGACGGAGCGACGCCGCGUGGAUGAUGAAGGCCGUGAGGUUGUAAAAUCCUUUUGUCGGGGAAGAAUAAGCGUGGGAGGGAAUGCCCGCGUGAUGACAUGAACCGGCGAAUAAGCCCCGGCUAACUACGUGCCAGCAGCCGCGGUAACACGUAGGGGGCAAGCGUUGUUCGGAAUUACUGGGCGUAAAGGGCAUGUAGGCGGUUCUGUAAGCCUGACGUGAAAGGCUAUGGCUCAACCAUGGCAUUGCGUUGGGAACUGCGGGACUUGAGUCACGGAGAGGGAGCUGGAAUUCCAGGUGUAGGGGUGAAAUCUGUAGAUAUCUGGAAGAACACCAGUGGCGAAGGCGAGCUCCUGGCCGAUGACUGACGCUGAGGUGCGAAAGUGUGGGGAUCAAAC